CUCUGUGGGAUCAGUGGCGAACGGGUGAGUAACACGUGAGCAACCUGCCCCUGACUCUGGGAUAAGCGCUGGAAACGGCGUCUAAUACUGGAUAUGUGACGUGACCGCAUGGUCUGCGUCUGGAAAGAAUUUCGGUUGGGGAUGGGCUCGCGGCCUAUCAGCUUGUUGGUGAGGUAAUGGCUCACCAAGGCGUCGACGGGUAGCCGGCCUGAGAGGGUGACCGGCCACACUGGGACUGAGACACGGCCCAGACUCCUACGGGAGGCAGCAGUGGGGAAUAUUGCACAAUGGGCGCAAGCCUGAUGCAGCAACGCCGCGUGAGGGACGACGGCCUUCGGGUUGUAAACCUCUUUUAGCAGGGAAGAAGCGAAAGUGACGGUACCUGCAGAAAAAGCGCCGGCUAACUACGUGCCAGCAGCCGCGGUAAUACGUAGGGCGCAAGCGUUAUCCGGAAUUAUUGGGCGUAAAGAGCUCGUAGGCGGUUUGUCGCGUCUGCUGUGAAAUCCGGAGGCUCAACCUCCGGCCUGCAGUGGGUACGGGCAGACUAUAGUGCGGUAGGGGAGAUUGGAAUUCCUGGUGUAGCGGUGGAAUGCGCAGAUAUCAGGAGGAACACCGAUGGCGAAGGCAGAUCUCUGGGCCGUAACUGACGCUGAAGAGCGAAAGGGUGGGGGAG
rnacentral:rRNA from 1 species